CCAGCUCUAACUUGCUCACUCAAACUGUAUCUGAUUUUUGAAAUUGUGCUCUACAGUUUGGCAACAAGCCAGUUUGACAGCUGGUUUAGUGAAGGGAUAAUUUUUCCACAGAGUAAUGUGAGCUCUAUGGAACAUCUUUUCUGAAAAGACAACAUGACAGACAGGUAUAAUAGGAGAACCACUAAUAUGCAGUCACUUAAGUAGUAGCAAAUGUGCAACACCUUUGAAGAAAUCUUUCUGGAAUAUUCAGAUCGUGUGAAAUUUACUCUUGAAUGCAUCACCAUACUGCACUUAAGUUAUCUGUAUAGUUGUCUACCAUUUAUCAAAGUGAAUUCCAGAAAGAUCAUCUGUGGGGAUUGUUUCUAGACUUAAAGUAUCACUUUUAUUUAAGAUUAACAUGAGCCUUUUUGGUGUUUUGUUACUGUAGAUGUUAGAACUAGUUGCUCUAACAUUCUAAGACUUAAAAACUGAAAAUACACUUGAUUUUGUUUAUGACAGACUAAAUUUCAUCAUGUCAGAGAUAAACUCUGACAAGACUAACUUGCAUCCUGGAUCAGGUUGAAAGGAUUCAAAAGAUAAAGACUAUUUCUAAACAUUGUCUGAAAUACUGGCAUGUGCCAUUUUACAUCUCAGCAGAAAACUGCAAUUGAUGAUAAACAGCACUGAUAGUGCAGGCUUCUUCAAAACAUAUUUGUUGCAAUGCAUGAAGUCAGAUAAUGUACCAUACCAUUUGAGUUGCAUCACAUAAAAUAUUGUGAAAUCUAACAGCAGAGCUUCACCUCAAGAAAAUAGGAGGUUAUUAAGCAGUUCAGGUAGAUUGCUUGUUGCAGGGUUCACCUAAAGUAAGUUCUGCUGAAAUUGGCUAACGACGGCCUUUAAUUUACAACACCUGAGACUAAGCAGUUUCUUUCCUGUCGUAUUCUCUAGCUGAUUCAAUUUUACUUGAAUAGUGCACUGCUUCUUGGCAAGUAAACUCAUUUACCUGCAGACACUAAACAGAAAUCUGUUGACUGACUUUUUCAGCUACCAUUCUUCUUGUGUAUGCAGCAGCUGUCCAACAAAAUUCACCUUAAAUUUAUGUUUGCAUCAUGACAUUGCAACAUGCUCAACUUGUGGAUGUGGUCAGCAAUAAGUGGGGAAUGAACAGUGAAGCAGUGGAAUCCUGGACUUCUGGCAGUGCUUCAGCUUUUACUGAAGCAUGUUUACUUUCAUUUCAGGUUUUCUGGAAUUUACCACUGUUAUUUUACCAGGUGAGGCCCAGCCUACUUUUUUAACAGGCCUGGCCAGAGAGUGUAAGCUGCUGGAGACCUAAGCAAAUUAUAAAUGUCUUCAAGCUUUUAUUAACAAACACUAUUUUGUCUACAGAAGAAAUAUGUUCUUUUAUACCUUCCUGAUCUAAGAAACUGGAUAAAUCCAGCAUCAUAUAUUUAUUUCUUGAAAAUCACAUUGCGAAAAGAAAAAAAUUAUAGGUAACAUCAAGACAGUAUUUGCACCAAAUAUAUAUUUCUAUUAAUAUAAAUA